CAUCUGUUUUCCCAGAAUGCUCUCAUUCUCCCCUCCAGAUGUUUGGCACAACAUCUCAACUGGAUGUCUAUUUCUUCUUGUUCUCCUUCACCUCACAUGAACCUUCCAAGUCAUAAUUCUUUGGAAAUAGACACAGGGAGCUUUAUUUCAAAUUACCGUCUUUUACUUAAGGAGUUCCAUCUCUCAGCCUGCUGCCGACAUCUGGGCGAGGUCAGACGGGCUCCUGCUGCCCUCCAGCACAGGCCUCCACCGCACCGCUCCCUGCUUCCAGGCCUUCCCGGACCCCAUCCACCUCUCCCACUAAAACUCUUUCCCAGGAGAACCCUGCUUUUGUUUAGAAGAAAUACCUUCGAGGUACUGGGAGAGAAGACAAAGCACCAAGCACCCAUCCAAGGGCAUGAGUGGAACUGCCCUGAGAGAGAGGAUCAGAGCAGCUUCUUGCUUGUGUCGUAAGGAAAGGGGGUAGAAAAACAAAGCCAGGAGUGAAGAAAUAGAAGACAUGGACCCUGAGGAUAGCAGGAGAUAUCUCUCUCCUUGAUGUAAUCUUUCUUUGGGACCCCCAUUCAACUUUAGAAUGUUCCCAAGCUUGUAUAAUGUUUGAAGGAAGUGGAUUUUUGCAGAAGCCCAGGGAAGAGCUUGAGUCCUAUCUAGAUAGAUGUACAUGGUGCAGGAGCGUGAAGAUGAUGGGACAUGAGGAAAUGAACAUAAGGAAGCAUGGGAAAUGUGCUCAGGGCUUUUUGCAGCCACGGGUUGUGGCAAUAGGCUCUAGUCAAAGAUCUCAAGGCACGGGUAAGCUGGCUGAGUUUUAAGUUAGAGUGUGAAUGAUUCUUGUUACCUGUGGAGUUGACUUUAAACUUGUCAGCCUGACAUUCUAGCCUUGUGUGAUCUGGCUUUCACUGACUAGAUUCCAACCUUUUUUCCCCAGAUCUUUCAGUUUAGCCAAACUGGUCAUUUUUUCCAUGAACAUGAAUAUUAAAUUCCAGUAUCACCAGUGACUGCCUGAAUGAUCUUGAGGAAAUGAUUUAGCAUUUCAGGAUCUCAGUCUAUUUAUCUGGAUAUUAUCUGGGAAUAACUUCAUAGGAUUAUUCCAAGAAUUAAAUGUGAUAACAUGUCAAAAUAAAUCUGAAACCUGAUCUCA